GUGCUCACUUAGCAGCACAUAUACUAAAACUGGAAUGAUAACAGAGAUUAGCAUAGACGCCACACAACGAUGACAUGCAAAUUUGUGAAGUGUUCCAUAUUUUC
ensembl:snRNA U6 U6 spliceosomal RNA